rnacentral:rRNA from 1 species
GACGAACGCUGGCGGCGUGCCUAACACAUGCAAGUCGAGCGAUGAAACCCUUCGGGGUGGAUUAGCGGCGGACGGGUGAGUAACACGUGGGUAACCUGCCUCAAAGAGGGGGAUAGCCUCCCGAAAGGGAGAUUAAUACCGCAUAACAUUAUCUCUUCGCAUGAAGAGAUAAUCAAAGGAGUAACCCGCUUUGAGAUGGACCCGCGGCGCAUUAGCUAGUUGGUGGGGUAAUGGCUCACCAAGGCAACGAUGCGUAGCCGACCUGAGAGGGUGAUCGGCCACAUUGGAACUGAGAUACGGUCCAGACUCCUACGGGAGGCAGCAGUGGGGAAUAUUGCGCAAUGGGGGAAACCCUGACGCAGCAACGCCGCGUGGGUGAAGAAGGCCUUCGGGUUGUAAAGCUCUGUCUUCUGGGACGAUAAUGACGGUACCAGAGGAGGAAGCCACGGCUAACUACGUGCCAGCAGCCGCGGUAAUACGUAGGUGGCAAGCGUUGUCCGGAUUUACUGGGCGUAAAGGGAGCGUAGGCGGAUAUUUAAGUCAGAUGUGAAAUACCCGAGCUUAACUUGGAUGCUGCAUUUGAAACUGGAUAUCUGGAGUGCAGGAGAGGAAAGUGGAAUUCCUAGCGUAGCGGUGAAAUGCGUAGAGAUUAGGAAGAACACCAGUGGCGAAGGCGACUUUCUGGACUGUAACUGACGCUGAGGCUCGAAAGCGUGGGGAGCAAACA